rnacentral:lncRNA from 1 species
UCACAUACAACAUAUCAUCAUUCAUUCAUACUCGUAUAACACCUCGUAUUAUACUCAUAUUCAUUACCUCGUAUAAUACGUAGGUAUUAUACGAUCAACGCUUUAAUUCAUUAUGCGUAUUAUAUUUUCUUCUCGGAACUCACUUUCCCUAAUCGUUAGGUUUUAAGUCCACAGGCAAAAAAAUGUGUUUGCCAUAACUGAAAUAUUAUUGGAUAUUCUAU